AUACGGAGGAUCCGAGCGUUAUCCGGAUUUAUUGGGUUUAAAGGGAGCGUAGGUGGACAGUUAAGUCAGUUGUGAAAGUUUGCGGCUCAACCGUAAAAUUGCAGUUGAUACUGGCUGUCUUGAGUACAGUAGAGGUGGGCGGAAUUCGUGGUGUAGCGGUGAAAUGCUUAGAUAUGACGAAGAACUCCGAUUGCGAAGGCAGCUCACUGGACUGCAACUGACACUGAUGCUCGAAUGGGUAGGUAUCAAACAGGAUUAGAUUCCUUGGUAGUCCACACAGUAAACGAUGAAUACUCGCUGUUUGCGAUAUACAGUAAGCGGCCAAGCGAAAGCAUUAAGUAUUCCACCUGGGGAGUACGCCGGCAACGGUGAAACUUAAAGGAAUUGACGGGG
rnacentral:rRNA from 1 species